UUUUUUUUUAUAGAGACUGCAUGCUACAUUACCCGUUGCAUUAUUGUGGGUUUUGAUAUUCAAUGUUAGUGUUCAUUAUAUUUAAUGAAAAUUAUACAGCAAAAAAUACAAUAUUGCUAAUGGUUUGUACGGUGCUUGCGUGUAAAGCUGCGUGUGCUGCGUCCUUCUCGUUCAGAAACACUCGAUACUCGUCGUCAAACCAUUCGUUCCGUUGUCCUCGUUGUUCAUACCCGAUGGCGGUCUCAGCUGUGCUGCUAAUUAAAUUUUUACGGAUGAAUUGCACGGCCUGCACCAACCCCUAUUUCGCCGGAGGACCGUAUCUUUUUAGAGUCCCCACUGGCACGAAGACAGUGAUCCGCCGCCCUUGACAUGGGGAGCCGCACAUCCAUAGUGAACAGACCCUCGGAUAGGCCCCCUUCCCUGUCAGCAUACGAUCAAGAUUCCACCGGGGUUCUUUACCCGAUCGUCAUUAUGGUUACUCGUACCUCAGUCGGAACCGCGGGCAGGUAGGCGUAGGACCAAGAUUGAGGUAUACUUUAUGCAUGCAGGUACACGAAGUACCGAUGGUACGCUUAAUUCAGUCGUUUACCAACCAUCGUUGGUGUUGCUCACUGUGAAUUCGGUAAGGAGAUUAUGUAGACCAUGUUCAACUUCAAUGGAUAUUAAUUGGACUAUUUUAUUUUAUCAUGUAAAUACAUCUUUUCCGACACAUUUCA